ACAGGGGUUGCAAGCGUUGUUCGGAUUUAUUGGGCGUAAAGGGUCCGUAGGCGGUUUGGAAAGUCGGGUGUGAAAUCCUACAGCUUAACUGUAGAACUGCAUUCGAAACUCCCAGACUAGAGUAUGAGAGGGGUUAAGGGAAUUCCCGGUGUAAGGGUGAAAUCUGCAGAGAUCGGGAGGAACACCAGUCGCGAAGGCGCUUAACUGGCUCAUUACUGACGCUCAGGGACGAAAGCUAGGGUAGCAAACGGGA
rnacentral:rRNA from 1 species